GAUGAACGCUGGCGGCGUGCUUAACACAUGCAAGUCGAACGAUGAAGCUCAGCUUGCUGGGUGGAUUAGUGGCGAACGGGUGAGUAACACGUGAGUAACCUGCCCUUAACUCUGGGAUAAGCCUGGGAAACUAGGUCUAAUACCGGAUAGGAGCGCCUACCGCAUGGUGGGUGUUGGAAAAAUUUAUCGGUUUUGGAUGGACUCGCGGCCUAUCAGCUUGUUGGUGAGGUAAUGGCUCACCAAGGCGACGACGGGUAGCCGGCCUGAAAGGGUGACCGGCCACACUGGGACUGAGACACGGCCCAGACUCCUACGGGAGGCAGCAGUGGGGAAUAUUGCACAAUGGGCGAAAGCCUGAUGCAGCGACGCCGCGUGAGGGAUGACGGCCUUCGGGUUGUAAACCUCUUUCAGUAGGGAAGAAGCGAAAGUGACGGUACCUGCAGAAGAAGCACCGGCUAACUACGUG
rnacentral:rRNA from 1 species